GACGAACGCUGGCGGCGUGCUUAACACAUGCAAGUCGAACGGAAAGGCCCUGCUUUUGUGGGGUGCUCGAGUGGCGAACGGGUGAGUAACACGUGAGUAACCUGCCCUUGACUUUGGGAUAACUUCAGGAAACUGGGGCUAAUACCGGAUAGGAGCUCCUGCUGCAUGGUGGGGGUUGGAAAGUUUCGGCGGUUGGGGAUGGACUCGCGGCUUAUCAGCUUGUUGGUGGGGUAGUGGCUUACCAAGGCUUUGACGGGUAGCCGGCCUGAGAGGGUGACCGGCCACAUUGGGACUGAGAUACGGCCCAGACUCCUACGGGAGGCAGCAGUGGGGAAUAUUGCACAAUGGGCGGAAGCCUGAUGCAGCAACGCCGCGUGCGGGAUGACGGCCUUCGGGUUGUAAACCGCUUUCGCCUGUGACGAAGCGUGAGUGACGGUAAUGGGUAAAGAAGCACCGGCUAACGACGUGC
rnacentral:rRNA from 1 species